GCUGGGUGUGGUGGCGCACACCUGUAAUCCCAGCUACUCGGGAGGCUGAGGCAGGAGAAUCGCUUGAACCCAGGAGGUGGAGGUUGCAGUGAGCCAAGAUUGCACCACUGCACUCCAGCCUGGGUGACAGAGCAAGACUCCAUCUCAA
ensembl:misc_RNA Metazoa_SRP Metazoan signal recognition particle RNA